ACUCCUACGGGAGGCAGCAGUGGGGAAUUUUGCGCAAUGGGGGAAACCCUGACGCAGCGACGCCGCGUGAAGGACGAAGGCCUUCGGGUUGGAAACUUCUUUUAUAAGGGAAGAUAGUGACGGUACCUUAUGAAUAAGCCACGGCUAACUCUGUGCCAGCAGCCGCGGUAAU
rnacentral:rRNA from 1 species